rnacentral:rRNA from 1 species
AUACGUAGGGUGCGAGCGUUGUCCGGAAUUACUGGGCGUAAAGAGCUCGUAGGUGGUUUGUCGCGUCGUCUGUGAAAUUCCGGGGCUUAACUCCGGGCGUGCAGGCGAUACGGGCAUAACUUGAGUACUGUAGGGGAGACUUGAAUUCCUGGUGUAGCGGUGAAAUGCGCAGAUAUCAGGAGGAACACCGGUGGCGAAGGCGGGUCUCUGGGCAGUAACUGACGCUGAGGAGCGAAAGCAUGGGUAGCGAACAGGAUUAGAUACCCUGGUAGUCCAUGCCGUAAACGGUGGGCGCUAGGUGUAGGGGUCUUCCACGACUUCUGUGCCGUAGCUAACGCAUUAAGCGCCCCGCCUGGGGAGUACGGCCGCAAGGCUAAAACUCAAAGGAAUUGGCGGGG